GCAGAGUAGCCACAGGGGAGGAGUCACUGCAAAAUGGAGUCUCUGUCCCAGCUUCUCUGUGGGUUCCUGAUGCUCUGGGUCCCAGUUUCCAGGGGAGCAAUUGUGCUGACCCAGUCUCCAGCUUCGGUAUCUGUGAGCCCAGGAGAGAGAGUCACCAUCAGCUGCAAGGCCAGUCAGAGUGUCUUAUAUACUGAUGGAAAGAAUUACCUACAGUGGUUCCAACAGAAAUCUGGACAGUCUCCUCAGCUACUCAUUUACGAGGUUUCCAAACUGCACUACAGAGUCCCCGCCCGCUUCAGUGGCAGUGGUGCUGGGAAAGAUUUCACCCUCACAAUCAGCAGUGUGGAGGCUGAAGAUGGGGCAGGCUAUUACUGUUUUCAAAGAUCUUUUAUUCCUCACACAGUGUUACAGCCCUGAACAAAAACCUCCCCU